rnacentral:lncRNA from 1 species
AUCUGACUUUGGCAUCGGAGCGCCUUGCAGGUACACACACCCACCUGUGAGGAGAAGAAGCCGAGAGCCCAACUCGAGUAGAAGCCAUGAGAGCCCAACCCGAGAAGAAGCCGAGAGCACCUAGCUGAAGGAGAAGCCGAGAGCACCUAGCUGAAGGAGAAGCCGAGAGCACCUAGCUGAAGGAGAAGCCGAGAGCAUCUACCUUGAGGAGAAG